UUUUAUGGAUAAAGAGUCGUGCCUGCCCAGUGAAUUUUUAACGGCCGCAGUACCCUGACUGUGCUAAGGUAGCAUAAUCACUUGUUUUUUAAUUGAAAGCUUGUAUGAAUGGCUUGACGUAGGUAAAGCUGUCUCUUUUAUAUUAAAUAAAAAUUAAUUUUUAAGUGCAGAAGCUUAAAUAUAACCAAAAGACGAAAAGACCCUAUCGAGCUUGAAAAUUACAAUUAAAUUAAAUUUAUAGAAAAAUAACUUUUAAUUAAUUUUUUUUGUUGGGGCGACAAAAGAACAAAUAAAGCUUCUUUUUAUUCUUCAAAUUUAUAAAUUUAUAGAUCCAUAAUUUAUGAUUAAAAGAAAAAGCUACCGUAGGGAUAACAGCGUUAUUUUUUCAAAGAGUUCUUA
rnacentral:rRNA from 1 species